GGGGUUGUGGCUCAGUCGUAGAGCACUUGCUGUACACAUGAGGCACUGGGUUCAAUUCUCAGCACCACA
rnacentral:tRNA from 1 species